GGGGCUGUUUAGGUUUCGACAGGCAUCACUGCGCUAUGGAUGCGUCCGAAAGGGUUGCGUCUUUCUAAAAACGCAAAACAGUUAAAUAUAACUGCAAACAAAACAAACAAUUCUUUCGCUUUAGCUGCGUAAAACCAGCGAGCGAAGAUCAGCCUAGCAUCUCCCAUGUGCUAGAUCCUGGUCUCAAUUUAAGUGGGAUACGUCUUAGUUUUCCGUCUGUAAACUAAGAAAGAGAUGAUCAGACUCGCGAACGAUGGAUGCUUGUUUAAUGGCUAAAUCGUCGCUAAAACUUAAAUAAUUAAACUAUGGACGUAGAUUCUGUAGUAGUAGGAUGUCUGGACGCGGGUUCGACUCCCGUCAGCUCCAUUU
rnacentral:tmRNA from 1 species